ACUCUACAUUGUAAUACUCACCCAGUUACAGUAAUUUGUGUAAUGUUGGACAUACGAUGAAACAACACGACAUUGAUACAGCAAUUUGAUCUCACACUCAUUUUUAUCAGCAGAUUAGUGUGCUUUGAGUACACCACAGUUCUGUAAGUGAAAAAUUAAUUCAUAUUUAUGUGUGUUUCUUUCUCAGUAAGGACUACCUUUAACUGACUUUCUGUCUGUCUGUCUGUUCUCAACCAAACGGUCAUUCAAGACCUUUUAAAGCAAAAACAUUUCCCGUGCAAGUUUGAAUCUCUCUCAGUAAGGACUUAUUGACUGGCUGUCUGUUCUCGACCAAACGGUCAUUCUUACUCAUAAAAAACUUUUAAAGCACAAGUGUGUCCCGCGCAAGUUUGAAUUUCUCUCAGUAAGGACUGACGGAUGGCCAUUCACUCAUAAAACCUUUUAAAGGUUAGCACGAAUGCAUCCAGCAUAAUUUUGGAUCUUUACCAUUGAGGAGACUGGCUGACUGUUCUCAACAAACCAUCAUUCACACGCAAAAACUUUAAAGGUAAGUAUGAACGUGUCUAGAGCAGUUUUGGAUCUUUACCAUUGAGGAGGUUGACUGACUUUCAUCUACCAACUGUCAUUAACACAACAAAAACUAAAGAAAUGUUACUACAAGUGGACCUAUUCAGUUACUCAUUAUGCUGUGAGUACACCACAAUUUUAUCAGUGAAACAAUAAUGUUUGUUUUUUCUCAAUGCUUGGCAUAGACAAAUGUGACCCUGUGUAAUUUGGAAAUUUCAUGGGAAAUGUGUACGUCUUAAAGAGCACCUAUUAUGGGAUACACGUUUUUAAACAUCCUUUUGUGUGUAAGUGUGCAUUAGUACAUGCUAACGAUAUUCAAAAAGUACAUACCUCAAAGAAAACGAUGACGCGAGUUAUCGUCUCUAACGUUCGAGGACUACAAAAAACACUCGGAUUGUAGGCAACAGUUUACUUCCUGGGAUUGGUGACGUAGAUAAGACCAACAUUAUCAUAGUUCAGCCCUCUCUGCUUUGCUUGGGUACGCCCUCAAAGACGGGGGUGGGGAGCGCCGAGUCAGAAGAGAGCUAAAAUGGCGGAGGUUGUGAGUCCCUGCUGUGACUCUGUUUGCAAACUCUUGUUUCAUUGUUUAAGCGAUUAAAUCUCUCGAGUAGACGCUGUCUCUUUAGAUGCGAGGGCAAAAUAGCACUUUAUGGACUUCCACAGAGGACAUCAUGUUUAAUACGGUUCCGGAAAAAUCCAGUCAGAAGUUGUUCACGGAGUUUUCACAAUAACUGCUUCUCAUGAACCGAAGCUGGAUUUGCGCGAAGUCUCCUCUUGAAAGUUGGAUUACUGUGCACUUCUGGAUCACAGGCUAUUCGCAGCUGGACACAUCCUUCUACACUGUAUGCAAACAUGCAACAUCAUUACACACAGUACGGAGUCAGACUGGCAUAUGAGGAGCAAAGGAACCCAGGCAGUAGCAUCGUUUCACAAUGUUUCCAUCAUCAUCAUCAGUGGAUGCCUUUGCUGUCCGUAGCCUGAGAUUUCAGAUUUGCAGCAAAAAAAAAAUUAUUUUCUCAUUUAUUGGAAUCCUGUGCAGGUAUUUGUACCUUGCAGCCAUCCAUUACAAUGUCACCAAGCCGUAACAAAAGCAGGAGAGGGAAAGUACAAGGCUAUGUUCCCAAAACACACAAGUGACAUACCUUAUGUGGAGGAUGUGAUCAGGCUUGUGUUUGAUGAGGUAUUUAAAGAUAAGCUGAAGGAAGCCCUGAUUCCAAUGGACCUGGCAUCACAGUUUGAGAGACCUUCAAAGGAGGACGUGAUUGCAUGCCAUCUUCAGUGCAGGGGUCGUCAAAAGCCAAAAUUGUGACCGAUCUGAUCAGGAAGCUCCAAGCGUAUCUGGAGAACAACACACGACAGGAUGAUAACCUUAUAGUGUCGUCUUAAAUAGCACCAGCUGACAAAGCUUUGAUAUGCCAUUUAUCUGAAUAGAUAGCUGUAAGAAAUGAAUUGAACAAUUUUUGAAACAAGAGCACAAUAUGGUUACUAAAGUAUGUUUAUUUAUAUAUUGUUUAACAUUUAAAUAUAUAUUUGUAAUAAAUAAAAAAAACUUUUGACUGACUAUUAUAUUUUCUUUAAAGUUACAUCUUUUGUUCUUUUGGGUACUUUGUUACUAUAAUGAUACUUUAGUGUUAUUGGUUUAAAAAUGUAAUAAAACUUACUCUAGUCCUGCACCUCAAAGGCUUAUAGUCGGUACAAUAAAUGUUCUGUGUGUAGGGAUUUAGACA